GCCAGGAAACCCUCGGCUUCCGCAGUCUGCAUUACCCUGUUCCCCAGCCCCCAGAGCGAAACUGAGUCACUCAGCGCCAAGCAGAGACAGCAGCGGCAAGAAGAUGGUGCAACAGAACUUGACAGAACUUACUGAGGGCUUUGUGGAGUCUUCCUGCAAACCAGAGAGAGAGAGGAAUAAGUGACCAGAGCCUGACCCUUUAUCCUUGGAAGGCUCACCACUCCGCCACCCCUGCAAAGGAAAGGUCGGAGCUGCCUCCAUCAGCUCCUCAUCCAAUCCUGGUUUUGAAGAUGACCCAAAUGCCAAGAAGGAUGAGGAGUCCCAAGAUAGGCAAGACCACAGAGAGAGCCACCUCUGGAGAGGACAGACUUGUAGGAGCUGGGGCUGAAACAGAGACCACCAGUGACCACCCUCAAGGAGACAUCUGAUAGCACCUCCCCGUCUCUGAGGGCAGACGGCUCAGGCACAGCCAAGUGUCUCCAUCACCUAGGGAGAGCCCUGCCAAGACUGACCAGGCUCUUUGCUUCUCUUGGGAACUCAAACUGGGUGACAAGGAGAAAUGGGGUGUUGGCAUCUCAUGAAGGCCUCUCAACCACAAGCUCACCCUGUCCUCUAACUCCGUGGACAAAUAUUCCAGGUCUUCAAAGUCCUGAGUGCAGCAUCCCUCAGGAGUCCUGCCUGCCUUCUCCUCAAAUCCUUUCUAUUGUUCAACCCCAGGCUUGGCUGGAACAGCGUGUUCCAGGCCAGCCUCUCGGCUCCACCAUCAGCAGCGGCAAUCCGAGGUCUAUGGACCACAGCAGCAGGCCUAAAGCCCAGACAGGAAGGGGAAAAGAGUGCAGGGGGGGGGGGUAGGGGGGGAUUGCAUGGUUGUGAUCUCGGGAUCAAGACUGGAAAGGGGUACUAGAGCUGCACCAAGUGGUGGGGAAUCCCAGCUGGCUGUACGUCCUUGUUCAACCAGUGGGUGGCUCUAGGCAAGAGACCCAGCCUCUCCCAACCUGAGUUAACUCAUCUGUAAAAUGGAGAUGGUAAGAGUCCUAGUUCCCUGGGACUGUGGGGGAGGGGACGGACUUAAAUAAGUCACUUUAAACUUUUAUCAGCUAGAGAAAGGCAGUGGCAGAAGUAGGAGGGGCAUAAAGGGAGGAAUGAAGAAAAGGAUUGGCAGGUGUCCAGGAGGCUUUUCUCUACCAACUUAUUUUAUCACAUGACUCUGUAUUUCAAGGGGAUUUCAAAGCUUCACACUUUUUAACCCAGCAGUUCUUUUUUUUUUUUUUUUUUACUGUGUUCUGAAUGAGCUCCCAAAUAUGUGUGAAGAUGCCCACUGCAUCAUUAGUUAUAACAUGAGGGGAGAAAUUGCAAAGAAUCUGGAGUCCCAGAGACAGCCUCCGGUUAAUUUGUUUUGAUGCAUAUCCCCACAAUGAAAUUGGAUGCCCCCCAUAAUUAAUUUAUGAAAAAAUCCUUAAGGAUAUAGACAAAAAAAAUAGCUAAAGACUUGAGAUGUGAGAAAAGAAAUGAGGUACAAAUAUGCACACACACACAGGAGUGUGUGCACACUCCUCAGAGGGUAUGUCCAUGUAGGUAAGUCUUGAGAGCAAGACCCCCCAAAACGUUAGCAGUAGUUCUCUAUAAUUUGACAUUAUAUGCCAUUGUUUUGAUUUCUCUAAAAUGUUCCACUUUUUCAGGUUUUUUUAACAAUAUACAUUCUUAGAGCUAUAAUAUGAUAUAAUUCAUAGAACAAAAAAUGGAAAAA